GUUUUAAUUACAAACAAAUUGUAUUAGCUUUUUGUUGCGUAAGUGUUUGUUUUAACAAGCGUCUGAGCCGGCGGGCAGCAGCACUGGUCGUACUCGACCAGUGCAAAUACACUGACUCCGCCAACACCAGACAUAAAAUGCUGGUACGCCCGACCUGCAAGAGGCUGAGAGUAACCAAGUUCACAAGGGUGUAUAGAAAUUGGAUUCAAUGAUGAUCCUUCCGCAGGUUCACCUACGGAAA
rnacentral:misc_RNA from 1 species